AUCUUCACGGUGACGCCGUGCCCGGUCUCAAAUCCCGCUUCUUCCUGCCAGUCACCCUUAAGGUGCUGGCUGGGGAUUUGUGAGUAACAGGCGGUCAUGCAGGUUUCGCUGUUGAUAUGGCGGACGCUG
rfam:Salmonella enterica subsp. enterica serovar Typhimurium str. LT2, complete genome.